rnacentral:rRNA from 1 species
UAGAUUUGAUUUAAUUUUUAUUUCCUUCCUUUUGAAUACACUCCUUAAAACUUUUUUUAGGGAUCAAAGUGUUUCAAAUCGUUUACUGUGAAGAAAUUAGAGUGUUCAAAGCAGGCGUAACCUAGCCUUUGAAUAUAUUAGCAUGGGAUAAUGAAAUAGGACUUUAGUUCUACUUUCGUUGGUUUCUAGGGCUGAAGUAAUGAUUAAUAGGGAUAGUUGGGGUCACUAGUAUUUAAUUGUCAGAGGUGAAAUUCUAAGAUUUAUUAAAGACUAACUACUGCGAAAGCAUUUGACAAGGAUGUUUUCAUUAAUCAAGAACGAAAGUUGGGGGAUCGAAGAUGAUCAGAUACCGUCGUAGUCUCAACCAUAAACUAUGCCGACCAAGGAUCCGGGGUUGUUAAUAUGGAUGACUCUCCGGGCACUUAUAGAGAAAUCAUAAGUAUUUGGGCUCCGGGGGGAGUAUGGUCGCAAGGCUGAAACUUAAAGGAAUUGACGGAAGGGCACCACAAGGAGUGGAACCUGCGGUUUAAUUUGACUCAACACGGGAAAACUUACCAGGUCCAGACACAGUGAGGAUUGACAGAUUGAGAGUUCUUUCUUGAUUCUGUGAGUGGUGGUGCAUGGCCGUUUCUAGUUGGUGGAGUGAUUUGUCUGGUUAAUUCCGUUAACGAACGAGACCUUAACCUAUUAAAUAGUUAUUUAAACUUGAUUUCUCGUAAAUCAAAUGUUUAACUAACUUCUUAGAGGGACUCUUCAC